CGUCUUGUUCUCUCGACACUCUCCAUCCGCUCUCGAUCCCGAUCAGCCGUUGUUGUUAACCAUAGCCUCGUAGCCCAAGCCUCCUCGAGCGGCCGCUACCGCGAGCAGGGCACGCCGCCGCCUCGUGCCACUACGGCCCGCACGCCUCUCGCGCCGCCGGCGCCGCCUGGACGCGCCACCGCGUCUCCGACGCCACCGCGCCGCGCCGAGCCGCCUCCCUUCCGGUUCGAGGCCCUGUGCGGCCUAGCCGGCGCAACCAGCGGAGCCUCGCGCUAGUACCGCGCCCGACCACCGCACGCCUCGCACCGUCUUGUUCGGCGCCGCUGCCCGAGUGGCGCAGCCCGCGCACAUACCCGCGCGCGGUCUGCAUCGCCCGUGCAGCCCUAGCGCCCACGCCUGGUGCAGCCCCGCGACCUGGGCCAACGCGUCUAGCGCAUACACGCGCCGCCCUCGCGCCCCUGCACCCCUCACGCGCGCUUCCCGUGCCGCCAGCGCCUCUGCUCCUCCAGCGCUUCCUGGACGCACCACCGCGUCUCCAGCGCUACCGAGCCCGCUGUUAGCACCUUCCACGCACUGUGCAUCCGCGCCGCACCGCUGACGGUACCGCCUGCGCCUCCGCCGUGCGCCACUCGCAGACCACGACAGCCCGAGCAGCCCGCGCUGCCUACGCGCGCCCUGCACGCCCUGCGUGACCACGCUAGCCCGAGCAGCCCGCGCAACCCACGCGCGCCCUGCACGCCCCGCGUCUCCCUGCGGUCCGCACACAGCGGCCGCCUCUUCCUCGAGCCGCAUACAACGGCCUCAGUACUACCUCGUGCCACGUUGGCCGCAGCAACGCCGUCCAGCCCAGGCGCCUGACCCAGUGCUGAUACUGCUGCUGUUACUGUCCUCGACGUUGUUGAAGCUGCUGCCGCUCUAGUACCGAAUCCUCCUCUUACAAUCUUUAUUCGGUACGCAAGUACACGCACGCACGCAACACACACGAACACCGUACGCACACACAGCGACCCAUCCGCACUCUCGGCCUCGAUCGAUCGGUCCGGCUUGAACCACCGACGAUCCACACCAACAAUCGCGUACGUACGUGACCAUCAAUCGACCAAUCGGCCGGACCUCAAUCACCGGCCAUCACCACCGGGGCACCACGAGACCCUUGCUCAAGCACGAGCACCCACAACCGCAAACUCGCGGCCUUUGGAGGACACAGGUGGACACAGAAGAAGAAGGGAAGAAGAAGAUGGAGCCAGACGUCGUCUUGUUCUCUCGACACUCUCCAUCCGCUCUCGAUCCCGAUCAGCCGUUGUUGU
rnacentral:rRNA from 1 species